GUGCUAAGGUAGCAUAAUAAUUUGUUCUUUAAUUGAGGACUAGUAUGAAAGGCAACACGAAAGCUUAACUGUCUCCCUACUAAAAAAAGAAAUUCUUCUCUUUGUGAAGAAACAAAGAUAAAACCGUAAGACGAGAAGACCCUGUCGAGCUUAAGAAAAUUUUUGCAGGAAAACUAUAGCUAAUACCUACACCUACUAGAAACUAAGUAAAAAUAUCUUUGGUUGGGGCAACCACGAAGAAAAACAAACCUUUGACUUAAAAAAGAAUUUACAAAUUUAAAAUUUAUAAAAAACAAAGAUCCAGAAAAUACUGAUCAAAGGAAAAAGUUACCGCAGGGAUAACAGCGUUAUUCUCUUUAAGAGUUCAUAUUGACAAGAGAGUUUGCGACCUCGAUGUUGGACCGGGACACCCAAGAGGUGCAACAGCCUCUAAAGGUAGGUCUGUUCGACCUUUAAAGCCCUACGUGAUC
rnacentral:rRNA from 1 species